UGAGGCAGACACUGGGGGAGGUGGGAAUGAGGGAGGAGGGGAUCAGGGAGAUCUCUCUGUUAAAAAGAGAAACCCCCGGCCUCCUGAGGCCGCCCCUCUGCCUGUGGCCCCUCCUCGCCCCUAGACUCCUCGGCCCCGCCUGCUCCCAGGGCUGUGGCUUUGCCGCCGCAGAGUCAGGCAGCCUAGCUGGCCAGCGUCAGGCAGCCUAGCUGGCCGGGCCUGAAGGUGCUCCCCCAGAGAGGCUUCUUGAGCCUGAGGAGAGUAGAGACCCUCAGGCCCCCUUCCCUGCUGUCGGUGGCUUCUCUCUUUGUCACGUGCGAGUGUUUUUAUUUCCGAGCCGAGGGGGCUGGAUUAAGGGCACUUCACUCUCAUACAACAAGGGGACGGAUUUCAUCCCCACCCGUCAGCUGCCCGUCCGAGGACCCAAGGAGACAGGUCCGAGGGUCCCUCAUCCGCAAGGCCCCCGAGGGCCCCUCCUUGGGCAGGUCAGCAGGGCUGGGUGCUGAGGGUGACACUCCCUUAACCCCCCGCGCCAGGAUCCAGAGCUGCAGGCCGCUCGGCCCAGGGGGCAGAAGCUUGCCAGGGGCCAGGGCUGGGUAAGUUGGCCAGGGGAUCUGAAGCCAGCAGUUGCAGCCUCACUGUGUCAGGGGCCUCCCUGGGUGCACGGCCUUGGCGGGUCUCAGGCCCCCCUCCCCCACCCGACCCCGCCUGGCAGGAAGGGGACCUGCCCUGACGGGCCCACCCUCGCGUCCUCCUCUGAGUGGCACUGGAGCAGCCGGCAGCCUCCUGCUUCCUCUCGUUCUCACUGUUCGUUCCUGUAGGAUUUGAAAAUUGCUGAGACCUUGUGAGAAGCAGUAAGAGAAGUUCGCGGGUGAGGACGAUGCAGCGCGGCCGUGGCAGCAGGCUCCCACGGCUUCAGGCACAAGACCCGAGGGCGCAGGAUUGCACUGGGCGUGAUGAACAAAUACCCACAGGAAUUCAAACAAGCUGCGGGUCCGACACAGGCCAGCCACCAUCUCUGAAUUACUUUCUGAGGUUCUUUCAAAAGCCAGUGAAGUGUGAGGUCUUGCAUUGAUGUCACAGGGUCAGGGCAUCCACUGCACCAGACUCCAAGCCGGCCGACCCCAGAGGCCUCCCCGCCGUGCCCACUGCGCUGGGGGGGGGGGUACGAGAGGUGAGGGUGCUUUUGCACGUGUGGCCGUGGGCACGUGGCACCCCGCAGCCACCGGCGGUGCUCAGCCCCGGGACCGCUGCCCUCUGACCGUCGCCCACCUGCCGGCCCCUCUGACUGGACAGUCUUGCUUGGCACGUUACCAAUGGGAGGAAGGGUGAGGUGAGUGCCAGGGUUUCUCACGGCAUGCGCGUGACCAGGUGCUACACGACCGAAUACACGUCACCUGCCUUCUGAUGACCGACCUCCUUGUCCUCCGGUGAGGCCACUCCUGAAUUUCGCGUUCCAGCUACAUUUUGAAUGGGUAUUUUCAUGUAAAUUUGUGGCAUGUGAAAAGUUUCAAAUAAAGUGGACCUGAUUUAGAAAA